AUUGAACGCUGGCGGCAGGCCUAACACAUGCAAGUCGAACGGUAACAGGAAGCAGCUUGCUGCUUUGCUGACGAGUGGCGGACGGGUGAGUAAUGUCUGGGAAACUGCCCGAUGGAGGGGGAUAACUACUGGAAACGGUAGCUAAUACCGCAUAACGUCGCAAGACCAAAGAGGGGGACCUUAGGGCCUCUUGCCAUCGGAUGUGCCCAGAUGGGAUUAGCUAGUAGGUGGGGUAACGGCUCACCUAGGCGACGAUCCCUAGCUGGUCUGAGAGGAUGACCAGCCACACUGGAACUGAGACACGGUCCAGACUCCUACGGGAGGCAGCAGUGGGGAAUAUUGCACAAUGGGCGCAAGCCUGAUGCAGCCAUGCCGCGUGUAUGAAGAAGGCCUUCGGGUUGUAAAGUACUUUUAGCGGGGAGGAAGGGAGUAAAGUUAAUACCUUUGCUCAUUGACGUUACCCGCAGAAGAAGCACCGGCUAACUCCGUG
rnacentral:rRNA from 1 species